GGAGGAAUUCUAGCAAACAAUGACAGCAGAUACAGACAGGUGUGCUCGUACUUUAAAAUUAAUGUGAACUUGUUCAAAAAUAAAUAAAUAAAUAGAAGCGUAAGGUGGUGAAUAGGUAUCCAUUUACUCAUAAAUCUCUGCGAUAUUAACCUCUGUAUGUUUUGAGGCAGUUUUAUUAUUCUAAAACGUUGCAUUGAACAGAACACGAUACGUCCAAAAGACCCUUUAUCAAGGAAAGUCACUCUCACGAUCUACCAACUGUGCAUCUGUUGGUACCAGUUUAAACUGUAAAAAUCAAUGUAACCCUGGAUCCCCCCUCUCCCUUGCUAAAAUGAUACUUGAACUGGGCCUACUACCUAUUUUUUUUGGGGGGGGGGGGGGGGGGGGUAUAUUUCCUAGAUUUCUGUGUCAGAAAAAAUGCAAUUGUCAUUAGAGGGUUUCUAACUCCAUGUGUGCUACAAGUGUGAGAAGGAAAAUAAUAGUUUGUUGGAGAUGGGAGAAUUAUUUUGAGCUCACUCUUUUUUAGGAAAAAUUAGCUUCAUACCACCUUGAAAAGUUCAAAAAAAAAAAAAAACAUAAUACUUUAUUGUCGUUCAUUUGAAAAUCGCCCAUUCAAUAUCUUGUGUCUUAGAUAGUUUGAUAUUGAAUUGUUGCUCCUCCGCUCCGCCUGGGUAGUUUGUUCGCGUGCUUGCAUAUUGUUCAUCAUGCUCGGUUGCUGGGGCAUUUGUGUUGGUGAGAAACUCAAGCUGAUUGUUUUUUUCUAGGGUUUCCUUUUGUUUUUUUUUUUUUGUUCUUUUUCUGUGUUUCCUUUCCUGUUUUCCAUUGGGCAGUUAUGUUAUGAAUAGUUUCUUUCUUUUUUGUUUCUUUUAAUAAGUUGUAUUUGGCUCAAGAUUUGGUGAACAACGGAAAGGGAAACUGGAAAUGUUAGACGAUCCAACUGUUUGGGACUGUUGGAUCAUCUACUUUUUUUCAUUUCCUUUUCCUUUUCCCUCACGAAAUCCUUGAUCCAAACACAGCCUUAAAAAUGACUAUGCCUUUGCCUGGAGUCCAACACCACCUCUCCUUAUGGGGGAAACGUUCGUUCUGGUUUAUGGUUUAUCCUUUUGCAUCCUUUCUUGGUUAGAGCCCUUGCUAACUUGUUUUGCUCCUCAACGUUUUCUGCAGGUACCACCACUCUAGAAGAUCUCGGUCCAGGGAGAGAGAUUCUUCUAAAAGCCGCUAUGAGAAUUAUGAUGCUCGGAGGAGCAACCGCUGGGAAAGGCAUACAAGUGGCAGUAGAAAGUCAAUAGAUCUUGAUGAAAAAAUUUAUGGAGGACUGAAUUUUAAAAACAACCGUAGAAGCAAGAGUAGGACGCAUGAUUAUGAUUAUGAUGAAGAUUGGUUCGAAGGACCG
rnacentral:lncRNA from 1 species